rnacentral:lncRNA from 13 species
GGGCAGCAGGAUUAGAGAAAAGCCAGAAAAUGGAGCACGCGGGGAGCAGCGCUGGCUGAGGGGCCGAGCUGGGGACAGCCCUCGGCGCCCCGCGGACGCGCAGCUCUGUUCCAUCUCCUUGGAUCCAUUCUCUCACUGUUGGAAGGCACCGUCCCACCAGGACAGAGGAGCAGGCUCGUGCUCGUGGGUGCCUUUGGAACCGCUCCGCUUGUGGACACAAGGAAUCUGAGA